rnacentral:rRNA from 1 species
GGUUCAUUCAAAUUUCUUCCCUAUCAACUUUCGAUGUUUGGGUAUUGGCCAAACAUGGUUGCAACGGGUAACGGAGGGUUAGGGCUCGACCCCGGAAAGGAGCCUGAGAAACGGCUACUACAUCCAAGGAAGGCAGCAGGCGCGCAAAUUACCCAAUCCCGACCGGGGAGGUAGUGACAAUAAAUACUGAUACAGGGCUCUUUUGGGUCUUGUAAUUGGAAUGAGUACAAUUUAAAUCCCUUAACGAGGAACAAUUGGAGGGCAAGUCUGGUGCCAGCAGCCGCGGUAAUUCCAGCUCCAAUAGCGUAUAUUAAAGUUGUUGCAGUUAAAAAGCUCGUAGUUG